rnacentral:piRNA from 1 species
UGCAUGUGACAAACAGAAAAAAAAAAAGAGA